rnacentral:lncRNA from 1 species
UGGCAGGAGACACCAUGAGAUGUUUUCUACUGUAGAAACUUUCUCAUUAGAAAUAGCCCAUUUAUACAGGGGACUGGCUAAUGUUUUUCUAUGAGUAUCAUUAGCCAGUGUCUCAAAGUGGUGAAGAGUAAGUAUAUAGCAUCUUUCAAAAGACUGCAACCUGGAACAAGGAGAGACAAAGGGAAGGAGGAGUCUGGAGCCAUAUUGAAGAUGAAAUUGAGAUAUGGACUAGGUGGUGGAUCGUUUUUAUAAGAGGACAUAAAAGAGGAUGCUAAAGCUAAUUGCCACAAUCAGAACUCAAAGACCUAGCAAAUGCAAGACACUGGCCACCUCCCUGAACCUGGGCCAAGAUGAGGGUCUACACCUUGGCUUAGUUCUACUAUGAAAGACUUUCCUGCAGUAAAAGUUACCUGUCUGAAACAUUCAGAAGAGUGAAAAUGCCACAUCUCCAAUUUCCAGCAAUAUAUUUGUCUGCCAUGAUUUGGCCUGGAAGCUUAAGCAGGAAGACCACUUGGAGCCAGACUUCAGAGUGAUCUGUCUCUAAGGAAUAACUUUCAUAUUGCAGCGUUCGGUUUUGCAAUUCUUCCUAAGCUACUCUAAAUUCGCAGCAUAAAUCUGCAGAAAGACUUCACCCUCCACAUCAAACCCUUAUAAGGAUCCAUUUCUGCUCUCAUUUUAGAAUAUCUUUUCUAAUAGCUAAAGGCAGACAGAGGCAAACCAAGAAAUCCAGACUUUGCAUCAACGGGUUAAAUCAUAUGUCAAAGGUGCAACCAUAACGUAUUACAAGCUUCUCAUCACAUAAUACAUCACUCAAGAAAAAAUAUUUGGGCAGCUUUUCUAAUUCAUCUUCCUGGUGUUAAAGGAGCACAUCUCCAGUGUUCGUGUCUUCUGUUUCAAUUAAAGCAAUCAUGCCUACUC